GAUGAACGCUGGCGGCGUGCCUAAUACAUGCAAGUCGAGCGAACAGACGAGGAGCUUGCUCCUCUGACGUUAGCGGCGGACGGGUGAGUAACACGUGGAUAACCUACCUAUAAGACUGGGAUAACUUCGGGAAACCGGAGCUAAUACCGGAUAAUAUAUUGAACCGCAUGGUUCAAUAGUGAAAGACGGUUUUGCUGUCACUUAUAGAUGGAUCCGCGCCGCAUUAGCUAGUUGGUAAGGUAACGGCUUACCAAGGCAACGAUGCGUAGCCGACCUGAGAGGGUGAUCGGCCACACUGGAUCUGAGACACGGUCCAGACUCCUACGGGAGGCAGCAGUAGGGAAUCUUCCGCAAUGGGCGAAAGCCUGACGGAGCAACGCCGCGUGAGUGAUGAAAGUCUUCGGAUCGUAAAACUCUGUUAUUAGGGAAGAACAAAUGUGAAAGUAACUAUGCACGUCUUGACGGGACCUAAUCAGAAAGCCACGGCUAACUACGUG
rnacentral:rRNA from 1 species